rnacentral:lncRNA from 1 species
UUUUUUUUUUUUUUUUUUUUUUUUUUCCUGUGUGGACGUCCAGCCGUUCCAGCACCAUUUGUUGAAAAACUAACUUUGCCCAUUGUAUUGUCUUUGUUCCCACUACCAGUUGGCUCUAUUUGUGUGUGUCUAUUUCAGGAUUCUAUUCUGUUCUAUGAACGUGUUUUCCUGUCUUUUUACGAAUAUCACCCCAUCCCGAUCACUACAGUUCUGUCGGAAGGCUUAAGACCCAGUAGAGUCAGUCAUCCUGCUUUGUUUUUCUCCUUCCAUAUUGUGCUGCUUUUCUGGACUUUUUGACUCUCCAUAUACAUUUUAUUUUAUUAAAAAAAUUUUUUUUGUCUUUUUAGGGCCACACCUGUGGCACAUGGAGGUUCCCAUGCUAGGGGUCCAGUUGGAGCUGAAGCUGCUGGCCUGCACCACAGCCACAGCAACACGGGAUCUGAGCCACAUCUGAGACCGACACCCCAGCUCAUGGCAACGCUGGUCCUUCACCCACUGAGCGAGGCCAGGGAUCGACCCCACAUCCUCAUGGAUGCUAGUCAGGUUCACUAACCGCUGAGCCAUGAGGGGAACUCCUCCAUGUACGUUUUAGAAUCCAUUUGUGGUAUCCACAAAGAGCUGCCUAGGAUUUUGAGUGGGAUGCCUUAAAUCUACAGAUCAAAUUCGGAAGAGCUGGCCUCUUAACCACUGCCUUCCUCUCCACGAGCUUGGAACCUCUCUCCACUCAAUUAGUUCUUCUUUGAUUUCUUUCAUCGGUUUUGUAGCUUUCCUCACAUAGAUUUUGUUCCCGUUUUGUUAGGUUUAUUGUAAGCAUUUCCUUUUUCGGGGGCUCAUGUACAUGAUACUGUGUUUUAAAUGUCAAUUUCCAGUUGUUCAUUGCUAGUAUAUGAACUAGGAAUGUGACUUUUGUAUUUUAAGCUUAUAUCCUGCAGUCUUGCUAUAAUUGCUUAUUAGUCCCCAGAGUUUACUGAUUCUUCGGAUUUUCUGCUUAGAUGACGUGCCAUUUGCGCACAAACACAGCCUUAGUCCUUCCUUCCCAACCUGCAUACCUUUUAUUUCCUUUUCUUGCCCAACUGCAUUAGCAAAGACGUUCCAUACAAGGUUGAGAAGGUGGUACAGCUGGUUUUUCCGCUCAGCAGUGGAUAUUUUGUUGUUUCUGGGUUUUGCCUGCUCUGAGGAGAGCUGCUUUGUUCAGAUCAUACAGCACAUGUGUGGACAUAUGUGCUCUCUUCUCAUGGGGAAGCGCCCAGGCGUGGGAUGCUGCAUUGCAGGUCAAAGAGAUGCCGGACGGUCCGAGGCGCAGCCGAGCUCCUGUCCAGGGCGGGUUUCUGAUGGGCAGCGUGUCGGUGGCUUUUGACGCUCAUCUGAUAGUCUCUGCCUUCCAGUCAGAGUAUUUAGACCAUUUAAGUUUUGCUGACUCUGGAUGGAGAGGGUUGAAACCUACCCUCUUCCUAAAGCUUUUUGCUUUUGUCCUGUUUGUCCUUUGUUACUUCCCCCUUUUUUGCCUUCUCUUGGGGCCUCUUCUACAAUUCCAUUUUACUGCACCUGUCAGCUGACCGGUGACCCUUUGGGGGCUUUUCAGUGACGGGGCAGCACCGUGACUCUCACGUUCGCCCCUCGCUCAGACGCAGAAGAAUUCAGAGACACGGGUCUCUGCAGGGCUUCCUGCCCACUAGGAGUUUGCAGCGUCUGCCUCAUGUGGGAGAGAGGUCCAGGGACUGCCCAGUUUCUCCUCUGCAGCCCUCAGGGCGGCGGCAGGGGGUGGGGGGGGAAUUCCGUCCCUCUUCUGGGCACCUGGCAGCUGGCACAGGCCCUCCCUGUAGCCAAGCCAGCUCCCCAGCUUGUUUUGCCCUUAGGAAUCCAUCAAACCCUCAGCCACAUUCCUUUUAUCUGAGGUCCGGGCCACCGUGCUUUGGUCAGAAUCAUCUGAGGUUUUGUUUGCUUCAUUUUGUUUGGUGCAAGAGGCAAGGAGCAGAUGGUAUACUGUUAACAGAUGGAGAGGAAACCAGAAAGCCUCCAGUCUCUUCUCUGCUUCCUUUAUGUAAAAACGGAGUUCCUGCAGAAAGGACACGCAGGCUUGCUGGGAGUGAGAUCCCAACAGAGAAGAACGCGACACCUGCUCUCCAAGGGCGUGUGGGCGGUCCGACCCAGAUAACCUGAAAGACCUUGGGAACGCGUGUGAAGUGCUUGGAGGGAACCUCUCUGGAAUCUUGAAGAACGAGACAGACACCAGGACAGAGGAGGUGGCAGACGCGCCAGCUCUCGGGGCGGGGAGGAGGGAGACUACGGAUGCGCAAGCUCACUGUCCACAGGUCCUUGGAGGAUCCGUUCAGCACUCCAGGUGAGGGUGCGCCAGAAAGAGCAGCCUGGACGUUCCAAACCCUUCGAAGCAUAGCAGCGCCGUCAAGGCACCAACAGGUAAACCUCAGGCCGGAGAAGCCACAGGGGUUUCCAGCCACAGCGGCCAAGCUGAGCUCCAGCGUUUCAAGCAACCCCUUCAAGAAAGAGCCGACUUGGGGGUCCCCAUGCCGCUCACUCAGAGAACCAGCCCCUCUCGUCAAUUCCUUCUCCCAGCUGCGUGGGCAUUUGAUACCAGGUCCCCGAAGGGUAAGCCCUUGCACAGAGACCUCUCCACUGUCCGCACCCCCGGACGAGGGCACGAUUUCAGAACACCUGCUCUCCUUGCCGUCACAUCUCCACGUGACUCCCAGCCCACGAGCCACCUCUGCAAAGGACCGAGGCCAGCAAACCUCUUCCUGAUGUACAACCAGUGGGACUCAGCUUCCUCCUGGACCGAUUCACUUCUCACAAAAUUAUCCUGACAGCCUCGCUUGCUGACCUCGGGGAACCCAGACUGAACCCGUUGCCUUGCCUUUGGGACCAGGACGGGCGUUGUUUAAAGAUGGGCCCUGUAUGUCGCUCCAGAUCAGAAUGUUUUCCUUUUAUAGCAUUUUAACAGCUUUUCCCAGAAAACAUCAGCCU